rnacentral:ncRNA from 1 species
AUAGCGGUAUCCGAAAAGCUCACAGAGUAGGAA